UGAUUGAUGGUGCUUGCACCUGAUUGAUUUCGGUUGCCAACGAGUGGCGGACGGGUGAGUAACACGUAGGUAACCUGCCCAGAAGCGGGGGACAACAUUUGGAAACAGAUGCUAAUACCGCAUAACAGCGUUGUUCGCAUGAACAACGCUUAAAAGAUGGCUUCUCGCUAUCACUUCUGGAUGGACCUGCGGUGCAUUAGCUUGUUGGUGGGGUAACGGCCUACCAAGGCGAUGAUGCAUAGCCGAGUUGAGAGACUGAUCGGCCACAAUGGGACUGAGACACGGCCCAUACUCCUACGGGAGGCAGCAGUAGGGAAUCUUCCACAAUGGGCGCAAGCCUGAUGGAGCAACACCGCGUGAGUGAAGAAGGGUUUCGGCUCGUAAAGCUCUGUUGUUAAAGAAGAACACGUAUGAGAGUAACUGUUCAUACGUUGACGGUAUUUAACCAGAAAGUCACGGCUAACUACGUGCCAGCAGCCGCGGUAAUACGUAGGUGGCAAGCGUUAUCCGGAUUUAUUGGGCGUAAAGAGAGUGCAGGCGGUUUUCUAAGUCUGAUGUGAAAGCCUUCGGCUUAACCGGAGAAGUGCAUCGGAAACUGGAUAACUUGAGUGCAGAAGAGGGUAGUGGAACUCCAUGUGUAGCGGUGGAAUGCGUAGAUAUAUGGAAGAACACCAGUGGCGAAGGCGGCUACCUGGUCUGCAACUGACGCUGAGACUCGAAAGCAUGGGUAGCGAACAGGAUUAGAUACCCUGGUAGUCCAUGCCGUAAACGAUGAGUGCUAGGUGUUGGAGGGUUUC
rnacentral:rRNA from 1 species